CCUACGGGAGGCAGCAGUGAGGAAUAUUGGUCAAUGGCCGCAGGGCUGAACCAGCCAAGUCGCGUGAGGGAUGACGGUCCUAUGUAUUGUAAACCUCUUUUGUCAGGGAGCAAAGGGCGCCACGUGUGGCGCUUUGCGAGUACCUGAAGAAAAAGCAUCGGCUAACUCCGUGCCAGCAGCCGCGGUAAUACGGAGGAUGCGAGCGUUAUCCGGAUUUAUUGGGUUUAAGGGGGGCGCAGGCGGAAUGUCAAGUCAGCGGUAAAAUUUCGGGGCUCAACCCCGUCGUGCCGUUGAAACUGGCGUUCUUGAGUGAGCGAGAAGUAUGCGGAAUGCGUGGUGUAGCGGUGAAAUGCAUAGAUAUCACGCAGAACUCCGAUUGCGAAGGCAGCAUACCGGCGCUCAACUGACGCUCAUGCACGAAAGCGUGGGUAUCGAACAGGAUUAGAUACCCGAGGAGUC
rnacentral:rRNA from 1 species